AUUGAACGCUAGCGGCAUGCCUUACACAUGCAAGUCGAACGGAGUGGCGAACGGGGGAGUAAUGUAUCGGAACGUGCCCAGUAGCGGGGGAUAACUACGCGAAAGCGUAGCUAAUACUGCAUACUAUCGGAGCGGCCGAUAUCGGCUUAGCUAGUUCGUGGGGUAACGGCCCACCAAGGCGACGACCCGUAGCUGGUUUGAGAGGACGACCAGCCACACUGGGACUGAGACACGGCCCAGACUCCUACGAGAGGCAGCAGUGGGGAAUUGUGGACAAUGGGGGAAACCCUGAUGCAGCCAUCCCGCGUGUGCGAUGAAGGCCUUCGGGUUGUAAAGCACUUUUAGCAGGAAAGCGGUACCUACAGAAUAAGCACCGGCUAACUACGUGCCAGCAGCCGCGGUAAUUC
rnacentral:rRNA from 1 species